ACUGGAAAUAUAAAUCAAUCCAGCAGCUUCUGGUCGGUGUGCAAUCAAUAAAAAAUAGACAAAAAUCCCCAUCGGAGAGCUCCCUUAUCCACACAGCACUGCUCGUGCUCGUCAUCAAUCCACGCCCCCAUCAGCGCUGCUCUCUCCUCUUCUCCGCCCCGGCCCCAGUUCCAUCCGUGCCACACCCCCCAUCUCUCUUCCCUCCUCCUGUCCUCCGCACGGACCGUGGCGCCAGAUCGAGGGAGCCUGGCAACGGAGGUCGCCGCCUCUCCGUCUCGAUCCGUCGGCUGCUAGAUCCGACUGCGUGGCCCGCUGGUGCCCUCCAGGGACCCCCCAGCCCCGGCGUCAGUGAGGACAGCCAUGGAUGGGCCCCCUGGAGCUCUUCUGCCGUCGCCCGAUCUGGCCGCCCGCCCAGUCGCCGGACCGUGCUCCGGAUCCGGCCAACAGCCUCGCCUCCGACUCGAUUCAGACGCCCACAACCUCCCUCCGCCACCUGCGCCAUGCAUGCCCCCAGCUCGCAAGGAGGCCAGGCACCUCGUCCAACUGAUGCACCGGCGGCGCGUAUCGGUGUGGGGGUGAGCCGGUGACACACAUCGGCAUAUUUCUUUUUCUCUCUUGUCAGUACCGCUUCGGGUUGACUUAUAAUAGUACUGCGGGUUGAAUACCCAAAACAGCAGGGGGUUUUCUGUAAAAAUGCCGACGACGUACGUUCUCUCGGUCUCUCUCUCUUUUCGUCUUCUCCGCUGUACGUCGCCCGACCUCCAAAUUAACCACUCCCGCCGCCGCGAUUUGAGCCACCGCCGGCAUGGUUGCCGUCUUCCCCGAACUCCGCCAUGCAUGCCAGCUCCUCCUCUCUCUGCGGUCCGCCCACGACCGCGCUCACCGCCGCUGGAUACCGUCUACCUCGCCACCGACAAGCUAGGGUAAAAAGCUAACUUUUUCUUUGUUUGUUUUUGCAGACGUGACGUGCGGUACGGACGACAAAGCGACGACCACCGCGGACACCCAUGCAUGCAUCAGGCCUCCCCCGGGCCUGAGCCACGCCGGCCUACAACACCGACGGUGACCAUGCCCCGGCUCGCCGAGAAACGCACAAGGUAGAUAAAGCUGGCAUCUUUGUGCAUCGAUCCGCGCCGCGCCCAACGUACGUCCUCGCGACCGUCCUUUCUCCGACGAAACUCCAAGUCGCCCGGGCUCUUGCUCCUUCACCCAACCAAGAAACUGACUGCCACCGUCCUUCAUGGUUGCCGUCUUCUUCCUCGCCUCCUUCCCAUGUGUGGUGUAGUUUGACCUACUCUUGGCGUAUAUAGCUCCACCGUCUUUGACGUACUCUUGGUGUAUAUAGCUCCACCGUCUCUCGUCUGCGCUAGCUCCAGGUCAUGCAUGGCCCGUUGGCCCGUUGGCCAUGCCCUUAAGCGAGCCGGAGCUCGAUCCGUGGGAGUGCCACCCCGCGCGUCCACUCUGCGUUUAGCUAAAAAACCUGGAUGUUCCUGCCUUUCGCUUUGGUCGACGCGACCGCUCGCACUAAUUUUGAACGAAAAUUCAAUCCAAGGAGCGGGAAGGGAGUGCUUUGGCCCACAAAAGAAAAGGAAGAAGAGAAAACGCAACCAAACCACAGCCAGGCCGCGCGGCUUCUCUCUCUGUCUUGCUCCUCUCUCAAUCCCCUCCAGAUCAGCCGCCACCGCCACCGCCACCGCCGACCUCUGUCCUCUCCCCCAACCCCAGCUCCAACUCCGGCCUCCACUCCACCGCCGGUGAUCCAUCCGUUCCCCUCCUCUCGCUCGCCGUAGAUCCGCUCGAGCAGCGCAGCCCACGGUCAGAUCAGAUCCUCGCGCCCGGAACCCUAGCCCUCUGGCCAUGGCGACCGGCCGCAGCACAGGUUGGAGGUGCCACCAUGGAGUCCUCUGCCGGGGACGCCGCCCAAGUGCUCGUCAAGGCCCGCUGCUCCUUCUUCCUCCUUUUCCUCAAAUUCAAGGGCAAUCAGCAGCACACGCCAUCCUCAAGGCGCAUGGUUCUUCUCUUCUCUGAUGGAUGGAUGGAUGGGUGGAUGGGUUGGUCGUGGAGGAGGAGAACGACCAGAAGAAUAGAGUCCCGUCUCUUCUCUUCUCUUCAUCAAUGCCGGCCAGGAACAACGACCCAGCCACCCCUCAAGGGAAGGUGUCUUUGUUUACUAGUACUUGAGAGGGAAUUGGAAGUAGUUUGUCAACUGAAGCUUGGUGCUGCUCGACACCAAGGAGAGGCGCAAGGGGGUGCCUAGCACCGGUGCCGAAGAAUGCCGGUGCUCCUCUUCGUCUUUGACCUGCUCUGCUCCUUCAAGGUGAUAGCCGAAUGGUAUACGCGUGAGAUUCUUCUUCCACUCAAACGCCUCACGCCCUGCCCCUCCAGUAGCUGAUUCUUCUUCGACUCUGUCACAUGUGUGACGACAUAUAUUCAUUUUCUGUUUUUUCGGCCGUGGGAGAGCUAGUUGCUGGUGAUAGACAGUAGUAUCAAUAUCUGGUUGAGAGCAUUUGCCGGUUUAAAAAAUAGGCUUCGCGGCGCUACUGCUUCCAUGUGACGGUGUUGUUUGGCAUUGGCUACAAAAACGGCCACGGAGAGCAUAUAUAUGUGAAGAAAAGAAAAGGCUGGGAGUCAUCGUUGUUACAAGAUGACGCUCAAGGGAAGAAAAUCUAUGCUGGAGAUGGGGGAGCAAGUUUGAUCUUGCAGAGGGUGAGAGGACGGACGGAUGGACCUUAUAGCGACUCUUGGUUGUAAUUGAGCUUGUUUUGUGUUCAACGCAGGCGCUGUUUGCUCCUCUUGAUUACCAUUCAGUUUCUGAAGAAGCACAAGACGCACGACGAGUCCAUGAAAAUUAGUAAUGGCCUGAGCUGUGCAAUCCAAGCUCAAAGCGACUUGAUCCAGUAGCUCCGCACUAGGAUACCGUGAUGUUUGCGGUCGUCUGCCAACAAGACUAGCGUAGCGCAAACUUGUGUGAUAAUUUGUUGGCCCUGUCUAUUGUUCUGCUGUACAUAAGUGAAUUCUCAAGCGAGAGUGAUAUGAAAUCUGAAUAGGUUUGAAAGUUGCACCUGCAAAUUAGUUGCAUAUUUCCAUGAACCUCUCUUAAAUGGGCGCCUGUGGAUUAUAGAGCAGGUCUAUUUGCAAGUUUGUCAAUCAAGAAAUGAGCCACAUCUCAAAUUGCAUA